rnacentral:misc_RNA from 1 species
AGCAAAGAAAAGGGAGAUGAGGUAUUCUGAUCUAAAGAAGAUCGAUCGUGGUGUUAGGAGGCAUUUUCACGAUGAUAUCUCAGUCAUAGUUGUGUUUUUAGAUUCAGAUCUUGUAAGUAAGGCGAGCUCGUUGAGGGGCCCCUCUUUAUCUCUGAGAGGUGGUGGUAUGAACUUUGCAGCAAAAAGUUUGGCUCCCUGUGCUACUCCCAUAGAACUCGGUACCACUUAAAAACUUUCUACUCUAUUGUAUACUCUGCUGUGUCCUCAAAAACUUCCUCGUGGAGAGAUUCGAAAAAAAACAAUAGAAGGUGCACUAAUUUAUUCUUUUGAUGUACAAUGUUAUAUUUAACACGAAAACAGGUGCCUUGUUUAGUUUUCGAGCAGCAAAAGAAGAACGAAAGAAUUUACUGUAGAGAUUGUUUCUCGAGUAUGAACUUGUCUUCUCUUACACUCCCUUUGAUUCUUUAGUAAAUGGUGUAAAAUGACAGAUGAAGAGUAGAUGUUAUAUACUUGUUAUCG